rnacentral:misc_RNA from 1 species
GUGAAUCAUCGAAUCUUUGAACGCGAAUUGCACUCUCCUCUGUGAGUAUGCCUGUUUGAGUUUCAGCCUAUAAAAAAUCGACAACGUUGCUGUUUCACGUCGGUGCUCGUCGGAAAUUGGGUUAUCUUAAAUCCGUUGGUUUUAAGCGACUUAAAAUUUUCUUUUUGCUUCCACUAACGUUUCUAAGAUUUAUACCUUUACACGUUUAUGUUUUCGUUUUUUAUUAUACGUGACCA